rnacentral:rRNA from 1 species
UACGGAGGGUGCAAACGUUGCUCGGAAUCAUUGGGCGUAAAGCGCACGUAGGUGGUCCGGCAAGUCGGGAGUGAAAGCCCUCGGCUUAACCGAGGAAGUGCUUUCGAAACUACCGGACUUGAAUACUGGAGAGGGUCGCGGAAUUCCCGGUGUAGAGGUGAAAUUCGUAGAUAUCGGGGAGGACACCGGUGGCGAAGGCGGCGACCUGGACAGAUAUUGACACUGAGGUGCGAAAGCGUGGGGAGCAAACGGG